rnacentral:rRNA from 1 species
CGCGUAGGCGGAUUAGCAAGUCGAAUGUGAAACCCAGUGGCUCAACCACUGGCCUGCACUCGAAACUGCUAAUCUUGAGUACGGGAGAGGAAAGCGGAAUUCCUGGUGUAGCGGUGAAAUGCGUAGAUAUCAGGAGGAACACCGGUGGCGAAGGCGGCUUUCUGGCCCGAUACUGACGCUGAGGCGCGAAGGCCGGGGGAGCAAACAGGAUAGAUACCCUGGUAGUCC